AAACCCUAGUGCUGUGAUUGGCUAGGCUUAAGUGCAAAGUCAUCAAACAAACCAGAGCAGAAACAAAAAUCCAGGAACAAUACAGGACCUUGGUCAUCCAGGAAAUAUUACCCUAAGAUUUUAUUUUUGCAAAGCUGCAUUUAUAAAGUUCUGUUUCCGGGUAAACAUGUGUGAUCCAUUUACAGGGAAACCACUUGCAUACCCUGGAGUGUAUCCUCCACCAGCUGUCUACCCACCAGGUCCUGGUUAUCCAUACCCAGGAGGACCUGCAGUGCCUGGAGUGCCACCAGCCCCUUGCCCCCCUCCCCCUGUUUUAUAUCCUGUACCUAGUGGGUGCACCUGCUCAAGUAUGCCUGCUGGACACUUUUGUCCCCAUCAUCACCACCAUGGGCAUGGGCAUGAACAUCAUCAUCCUCAUCAUCCUCCUCCCCACCACCAUGGACAUCAUCAUCCUCAUCCUCACCACCAUGGACAUCAUCCUCAUCAUCACCACCACCACUAACUUGGUGGAUUUCUCAAGCAACUUUUGCACCAUUGUCACAAUCAUGGCGAAAAGGGCUAGCCUUAUAAAUUUGAAGACAUUAUCUUCUGGAAACGAUAAUUGAAUAAUCAACAGAAAGCUUGGUGGUGUAAUCACGAGUGUAAUCAUAUAUCAUUUUAAUAUUUUAUAUCGAGGGUGUAAGGCAUAAUGUCUUCAAUCUUCUCAACCAUCAAAACAUACUCAGCAGCACUGAGAGGUCUGCAGUACAUGGAAGUAGUGAAAAUGUUAGCAACAUGGUGUAUCUGAUGAACAUUCUGAAAAAAAUUAAGAAACAUCGAUUUAUCCAGACUGUUUUUAAAGUCUGUUGAAAUAGUCAAUACCCAGUGACUGACUUGUGAUAAAAUUUUAAUAUGACUAGUCAAGGUAUAUUAUCAACAAUAUGGAUCAGAAAGCAAAAAAAAAAAUGGCUGACUUAUUCAAGGUAUUUUUGAAAUAUAUAUCAGUCUAAAGUACAGCUGGUUUGCUCUUAGUCUAUCUAUGUGUGUUUGUGUGUGUUUUGCAGAAAGGGAGGAAAUGUGAAUGGCAUUUAUAGCUAUGAAUUUCAUGUUGAGUUAUAACAUUAAUCACAUGGUCUACAUAUCUGGUAAAUCCACAAAGGAUGAUAUUGUGCGUCAGAAAUCAAAAAUAAAAUUACAAUUAGCACUGUAAUACCAAAAAUACUAAGCGAUGCAUUAACAUUUGUAUUAAUACUGAAAAUUGGUUUAAACCAAGGUUGAUAUUGUUUUAAAAGAACUUAAGUAAUCACGUUUUUUUACAGACUGUCCCUCUUUAUCUUGUAUUUCUGUAAAAUAUGAGUGGUAUAAGGUGUAUGAAGUGUUUGAUUACAUUGUGAAGACAGAAGUUACUUGGAAAUGAGCACUGACAAACAGAACAAACUAUUUUCUAAUUAAAAGCAAUGUUGUCGUGUCUAUGGAAUUCAGUGCCUGCUUGGCUUCAAACAUCACUUACAGGUAGUCCUUAAAGCCCAUCAGUUAAAUACAGUUUACUGCAGUUUAAUACUAGAACCUUGUCAUUUUGCUCUGUUUUCACUGAUGUUGUGUGUUUUGUACCUACCUUUAGUGUGCUCUUGUUUAUUUUGUAGCUUUUUUGUGCAAUGUUUGGCUCUUAAUCACUUUACUUGAGAAAAGAUAAAGUGAAUAUAAAGCCCCAAAGCAUUGCUGAAUAUUGAAUAAACUGAGUAGGAUUAGAUUCUUCAGUCACCUUUCAGCUACAUAUAUGUGUUUCCACAUUGGUGAUAAUUAUGUAAUGUUUCCAUUCUGAAAAUGCUAUUGUGUCAAAUACAUGGUGCAAACUUUGAUAAUAAGAAAUAUAAAUGGUUGGUUAUAUAUAAAUUUAAAUGGAAAGUUACAUAUGCUCCUUGAUUCAACUAUAGUAGAAAAGAAAUUAAAAUUAAAUAUUUUUAAUCUAAAUAAAGAUAGUUUUAUGCUGUGUGUCUUAUGUUUUGCUUAUAUCAAUACCCCAUGUGUUUUGGACAUGUGGAAAUUAACCUACAUCUGUAUAAACAAUGGGAGUAUAAGUUGAAGAACUGUGUAAAAUAGAAUAAAUGAAAAAAGGCAGUCAAAGUAAAGAGCAAUGUAGUGGAACUGCUCUUAUGAAACGGUAUAAAUGAAUUUUCUACAUUCACUACCCAUCCCAUACCACUGUCAGAAAUAAUAUUUUUAAUAGACAUUAUAAUAAGGGCACUAUAACUGUAGCAGCCUCCAAGACUAUUAGAGUACACUGGUCGAUAACAGACCAGCGAAGCCUAAUCACUGAAUUCACUUCUCUUUUAAGACAUAGUGAAAAAAGCCAUUAGAUGACAUAAAGCAAACUAGCACUGAACAAACAAAAUUGAUUUCUAAUGAAACCUACAUUCUCUUGGAAAUAAAUUCAAUUACAUGUAGAACUGGGGGGGGGGGCACACUAGCAGUGCAGAUGUAACAUAAACAACAUAUGGCCUGGUGACCUUUGGAGAUUUAAAGGGUUUCUAAAAAUUUCUAGCGCUUCCUGAUCUGCUAACAUUUAUCUUCUAUUAUACUCCAAUUCUACUCCUAAUGAACUUGUACAACUUUUGCUUUAAAUGAAUUACGAUACAGAAACAUAACAAGCUAAAAUAUUAAUUUCUACAACAUUGUCUGUCAGGGUCAGACACUCUCUAUCCAUAGUUUAUCAAACUCUGAAAAGACCAUAUGUAUCAACCUUUCAAUUUCAUUUUUCAGUCUUUCCAUCACCCAACACAUCUUCCUCAAUAUCUGGACAUCUUCCAUUAUAAUAUUCCUACAAAGAACCAAACUGGAGUGAAAAGAGAGAGCUAACAAUCCAAGGUUCACAAAAUAUUAUUUUAAUAACUAAAACACAUACAAUAAGACAAUAAAAAGAUUAAGUGGUUUUGCCCCACUCGGGGGACUUCAUCAAAAUGCCUUCAUCUAUCCCAUCACAUAAUUUAUGCCUAAAUUCACCAUUAAUUAACCCAAGUAAUGUAAAACAGUAACCAAUGCAUCAGAUUUAAAGAGACAUACUCUUAAAAUACAGCUAAUACAAAUCUAUUAUAAACACAUAAUAAUACCACACAGAUUGUCACAGCAAGAGUACAAAUGUAUACAAAUUCACCAAAUGUUCUAAAAAGUCAUCCUUACAAUGUUUCAAUAAUUUACAUUGCAGCUAAAAUUGAUUAUAACUCAUUUGCCAAAGAUCUUAGUAAAAAAUGCAUAUACUUAAAAGCCAUUGCCUGCAGUAAUAACAAAUAAAAACUCACCAUGUGCUUAGAACUCAGAAGUUUAUUGGGACAGGUAUUAUCAAUAAGUUCAUUAUUCAUUUUACCAUAGCUUUUAGUUGAAGUGCUGGUUGUAAGCUGCUAAUAUCUAUUAUAAUUAAAACCAGAGGGGUGAAAGUCAUCCAACCUAUUUGCCAUAUUACCUCUUUAUAUUCCAA